AUGUGCAAAUGCACACUGCUGGAGCGCCCUUCAGCAACGAGGAGGCCCAAUGCGACACGGCCGCCGCCUGCGUCGGUUCUCCCCAGCACGACACGGCCGCCGCGGGCAUCGGUUCUCCCCAGCACAACCACUCUGAAGACGCCCAGCUUGGCCCAUACAAUUUGGAUUCUUUUGGAGACUGGAAACAACUUUAAAGCUACUUGUCACAAAGUGUCAUUGAACGCCUUGAGCCAAUUGGUGGCAAUUGCAUUGGAGACAUCAUGGAUGGAUAGAGCUCCCCAAAUGGAUAUGGGGAGACGAUUGAUGGAAACACUUAGAGAAGACAAAUUUGCCAAGAAAGCGCCUGCACACACUGAGAGGAGAGGAUGCUAUUACACAACUAUCCCGCUUCGCUUUGGAAUAUACAAUAAGGUCAAUCGGCAAUGGCUAGCAAUCAGGAUUAUUAGCUGUCCAAUCACCCAGAAACUUUGA
rnacentral:rRNA from 1 species